rnacentral:rRNA from 1 species
UACAGAGGGGAGCAAGCGUUGUUCGGAAUUACUGGGCGUAAGGGCGCGAGUAGGCGGCCCGCUAAGUCGAACGUGAAAUCCCCGAGCUCAACUCGGGAACUGCCGUCCGAUACUGGCGGCUUGAAUCCGGGAGAGGGAUGCGGAAUUCCAGGUGGUAGCGGUGGAAAUGCGUAGAUAUCUGGAGGAACACCGGUGGCGAAGGCGGCAUCCUGGACCGGCAUUGACGCUGAGGCGCGAAAGCUAGG